AGCUGAUCCUGCUGGCGAAUACUGCUUUCGAAAUCCGAUUAAGCCAUGCAAGUCCGAAAGAGGAAGUUGUUCCUUUUUGGCGAACGGCUCAGUAACACGUAGUCAAUCUACCCUGGAGAGGCGUUAAACCCGGGAAACUGGGUAUAAUGCGCCGUAGGUAAAAGAUACUGGAAGGUUCUUUUACUCAAAGGCCUAGUUAACUUACUGAAACUAGGUGCUCCAGGAUGGGACUGCGGCGGAUUAGGUUGUUGGCGGGGUAAAAGCCCACCAAGCCGAAGAUCCGUACGGGCCUUGAGAGAGGUAGCCCGGAGAAGGGAACUGAGAUAAGGUCCCUAGCCCUACGGGGUGCAGCAGGCGCGAAACCUUUACAAUGCGCGCAAGCGUGAUAGGGGGAUUUCGAGUGCCAGUUUUCUGGCUUUUGCCAACUUUAAACCGGUUGGCGAAUAAGUGGAGGGCAAGAUACGUGCCAGCCGCCGCGGUAACACGUACUCCACAAGUGGUAUUCACUUAUAUUGGGCCUAAAGCGUCCGUAGCCUGUCCAAUAAGUCCUUGGUGAAAUCUGCAAGCUUAACUUGUAGAAUGGCUAAGGAUACUGUUGAACUCGAGACCGGGAGACGUCAAGAGAAUUUCAGGGGUAGCGGUGAAAUGUUGUGAUCCCUGAAGGACUACCAGUAGCGAAGGCGCUUGACGAGAACGGGUCUGACGGUGAGGGACGAAAGCUGGGGGAGCGACCCGGAUUAGAUACCCGGUUAGUCCCAGCCGUAAACGAUGCGGACUAAGUGUCCUCGUACCUACAGGGUAUAGGGGUGCUAAAGGGAAGCCGAUAAGUCCGCCGCCUGGGAAGUACGAUCGCAAGGUUGAAACUUAAUGGAAUUGGCGGGGGCGCACUACAAGGGGUGGAGGCUGCGGUUCAAUUGGAUAAAACGCCAGACAGCUCACCAGUGUUGACAGCAGAAUGAUGGACAGGCUGAAGGUCUUUCCUGACGCGCUGAGAGGUGUUGUAUGGUCAUCGUCAGCUCGUACUCUGAAGCGUCCUGUUAACUCAGGCAACGGGCGAGACCCACGUCCUUAGUUGCGACUUACCGUUACGGCGGUAGAGCACUCUAAGGAGACUGCAAGGGUAACCUUGAGGAAGGAGUGGGCGACGGUAGAUCUGUAUGGCCCGAAUAUACUGGGCAACACGCGGCCUACAAUGGUUAAGACAAUGGGUCCCGACUCCGAAAGGAUAAGGUAAUCUCUUAAACUUAGCCUCAGUUCAGAUCGAGGGUUGCAACUCACCCUCGUGAAGUUGGAAUCCCCAGUAAUCGCAUGUCAUUAUCAUGCGGUGAAUAA
rnacentral:rRNA from 1 species